rnacentral:rRNA from 1 species
UGGGCGCAAGCCUGAUGCAGCCAUGCCGCGUGGUGUGAAGAAGGCCUUCGGGUUGUAAAGCACUUUCAGUCGUGAGGAAGGUGGUGUAGUUAAUAGCUGCAUUAUUUGACGUUAGCGACAGAAGAAGCACCGGCUAWCKCCGUG